AUCCCUUCUUGGCCUUUUGGUUAAGAUCAUGUGUAGUAUCUGUUCUUAUCAGUAUUUAGAUUUCUACAAUAAAUCUCAGCCAGAGCAAAUUUCCCAGGCUCAAAAAUGCACUUUCAGAAAUUUGAAAGAAUGAUUGUUGGACUCUUGGUCCUUUUUCAUCUAUCUACC
rnacentral:snRNA from 1 species